CAGUCGCCGCGGUAAUACGGAGGGUGCAAGCGUUAAUCGGAAUUACUGGGCGUAAAGCGUGCGUAGGUGGUGGUUUAAGUCCGUUGUGAAAGCCCUGGGCUCAACCUGGGAAUUGCAGUGGAUACUGGGUCACUAGAGUGUGGUAGAGGAUAGUGGAAUUUCCGGUGUAGCAGUGAAAUGCGUAGAGAUCGGAAGGAACAUCUGUGGCGAAGGCGACUAUCUGGGCCAACACUGACACUGAGGCACGAAAGCGUGGGGAGCAAACAGGAUUAGAUACCCGCGUAGUCCCUGUCCUUAUACA
rnacentral:rRNA from 1 species